GGCUUGCUCCUAAGUUUAGUGGCGCACGGGUGAGUAACACGUAGCUAAUCUGCCCUAUGCUGGGGGACAACAGUUGGAAACGACUGCUAAUACCCCAUACUCCGGUAUUACAUAAGUGAUAUCGGGAAAGUUUUUCGGCAUAGGAUGAGGCUGCGGUCUAUCAGCUAGUUGGUGAGGUAACGGCUCACCAAGGCUAUGACGGAUAGCUGGUCUGAGAGGAUGAUCAGCCACACUGGAACUGAGACACGGCCCAGACUCCUACGGGAGGCAGCAGUAGGGAAUAUUGGACAAUGGGGGGAACCCUGAUCCAGCCAUGCCGCGUGAGGGAAGAAGGUCCUCUGGAUUGUAAACCUCUUUUGGCAGGAAACAAACCUGCGCUAUACGCGCAGCUGAGGGUACCUGCAGAAUAAGCACCGGCUAACUCCGUG
rnacentral:rRNA from 1 species